rnacentral:lncRNA from 1 species
UGAUGGUUGGACUUGAGAUAUUGUAGUGUUUUUUUCCCACCUUUAUGAUGCUUUGACUCUAAUCACCCCCACAAACCCCAGCUGCAUCCUGGGGCUCAUUUGUGUUUCACACCUGCAGCCCAUUGCUGCUCAAUCCUCCUCCUUUUAUCCCUGGUCCUGCGUCAGUGCUAGCCUUUGGUGCUACCAGACCCAUCACCAGGGAAGAACAGCAGCAGGAAGAUACGGAAACGUCUCGAACGUGCCCCUGGCGUGUUGCAGCAGACAGCUUAAGCCGAGAGAAAAUUCUUUGGCAGUGACAUCAAUUCGGCGGCCUGACUUCUGCGGGAGUGUUCAAACCCAUCUCAUAAGUGGCUCGCAGCUGCUGAAAGACGGCUCUCGCCUGGUGCUGGGGAUGGCUCCUUCACCUCGAGAGGAGCCUGAGCCUCUCCGAGAUGAGCGUGCUGUUUCCCUGUGGUUUCUCAUGGCUUUGGGUAAGGCUCGUUUCAGUUUGCCAAAGCUCUCCCCAUUUAACCAAAAGAUCAGAGUAACACGUCACCAAUUUCUGCAGGUUGUCAUACAGGGCAUGCGGGAAUGGUCUUUGAUGGCCCUUGCAUGAGACCAUGAGUAAUUGAUUCUUCAUGGAGAGAGCUUUGGGCAAGUCAUUCCUACUGCUCACAAGGCUAAGGGCGUCCAGUACGCAUCCCCAGGCACGGCCUGGCCCACAGAUGGGGAUGUUUGAUGGAGUAACGGUGUGAAGUGGGCACUGGUUGUGCUGCAGGAGAGUGUGUGGUGGAACAGCACUGUCCUUGAUCAAGUGGUGGUGAAGAGCUGACCCAGCCCUCGUGCAGAACCCAAAGGAGACAAGAAAAUUCUGUGCCAGCUUCUUUGCAGACAGAAGGUGGGUGAUGAAUGGGAGCUGUGAAAGUAGCAGUUCCCAGCUUUGAUCAGCAUGCCAAUCAUACAUAUAUAUAUAUGUA